rnacentral:lncRNA from 1 species
UAGGGUGGUGAAGGUUUCAUUUCUGGAACUAGUACCGGUUGAUUUUUCUUUGGUGGCAAUUUUGCAUCUAACACAGUUUUUAGUUGAUUAGAAUUAGGUGGUUCUAAGGUUACCUUGUCAGAUUUUGCAGGUUCUGGUUCUUAUGAAACUGGAAUUUCAACACUCGGUUGAACUUCCUCUGAGUCUUGAGUGCCAGCUGGCUCAUUUUCAGCUUCGAUGGUGUUGGGCUCUACUGUCUUUUCGCUCCUCAAUGUUAAAGCUUUGCAGUGUUCCUUCCCCAGAUUUCUUAGAUUCUCUAUAUCACUAGGUAAAGCAGCUUGUGG